rnacentral:lncRNA from 1 species
AUUCAAGCCAUAUGGCCUGAAGCUGGAUAGGCAGUUCCUUUAAGGAGAUUCAUGAUGAAUACAGGAGCUAAAACAAUAGGUAUCAGCUUCCCUUGGUAAGCUGUGGACACCAUAGUUUAAGAAGGUUAAGAAGAACUUAAAAUGGAGAGUCCCUUGAAUGAUUCAAAUGUGGAAAAAGAAAACCUGUGAGAAAAGAUAAAGGUAUUGCUAUU